rnacentral:rRNA from 1 species
CAAGUCGAGGGGUAUAUGGUGCUUGCAUCAUAGAGACCGGCGCGCGGGUGCGUAACGCGUAUGCAAUCUACCUUUCACAGGAGAAUAGCCCAGAGAAAUUUGGAUUAAUGCUCCAUGGUAUUGAGAUAUCACCUGAUAUUUUAAUUAAAACUACGGUGGUGGAAGAUGAGCAUGCGUCUUAUUAGCUAGUUGGUACGGUAACGGCGUACCAAGGCAACGAUAAGUAGGGGUCCUGAGAGGGAGAUCCCCCACACUGGUACUGAGACACGGACCAGACUCCUACGGGGAGGCAGCAGUGGAGGAAUAUUGGACAAUGGGCGCAAGCCUGAUCCAGCCAUGCCGCGUGCAGGAAGACUGCCCUAUGGGUUGUAAACUGCUUUUAUACAGGAAGAAUAAGGAGUACGUGUACUUUGAUGACGGUACUGUAUGAAUAAGCAUCGGCUAACUCCGUGCCAGCAGCCGCGGUAAUACGGAGGAUGCAAGCGUUAUCCGGAAUCAUUGGGUUUAAAGGGUCCGUAGGCGGAUUAAUAAGUCAGUGGUGAAAGUCUGCCGCUCAACGGUAGAAUUGCCAUUGAUACUGUUAGUCUUGAAUUACUAGAGU